GUGCUCACUUUGGCAGCACAUAUACUGAAAUUGGAGUGAUACAGAGAAGAUUAGCAUGGUCACUGCACAAGGAUGACAUGCAAGUUCGUGAAGCGUUUCAUAUUUUA
rnacentral:snRNA from 1 species